rnacentral:misc_RNA from 1 species
UGGGGUGUCUUUUGAUUCUGGACUUAUUGGUUAAUUUCGAUGCUAUUGCAGGGCAAUCAUUGCAGGGUACUAAAUUUGUGUGUUUUUUUUUUUUGGGGGGGGUAAAAGAGCAGUGGAAGUCUCCAAAUUGAGACUUUUUCUUUCCAAGCUGAAAAGUGCUCUAUGAAUAGGCUAAGUCUGCUGAUGCAUUUAUGUUUUUACAGGCUUUAGAAUUUUCUUUCUGCUAUAUGUUUUAGCUAUAGAAGUUUCUGCUAAAUAUAUUUCCAUGUGUCAACUCAAGUCUUUGUAUAUAAGGUUUUAAUAUGAAACCAUCAAGCAGAAGCUUCAAUUCGUCAUGUAAUUUCUUUGUAUUUCAUUUUCUUUUCUUAAUGAAAAUAUACUAACA